rnacentral:lncRNA from 1 species
GAGAAAGUAAAUGAUGACCCAAACAAAAAAUCUAUAAAUUAGUAAAUAUAUUUUUCUUCCUCUGGUUCUAUCACAUGGAUCUGGAGUAAGUAGACUAAAAUAAUAUAACGGUUCUAUGUUCUCGAUAACAAAUGAACAACCAAUAUCAAUAAAUAAAUGAGAAAAAUAAGAUUGUUUACCUACAAUCAUUGUUAUGAUAAAAAAAUAUUUUAAAGAUAACUUUUAAAUGAACAAUAUAAUUUGAUAAGAGUAAUUGAAAAUACCGGUCUUUUCAUCCAUUAACAUUCUAUUUGUAGUGAAAAAUUAUUUCUUUCAAC